GAUGAACGCUGGCUGCGUGCCUAAUACAUUCAAGUCGAACGCAUUUAGGGAAGUGCUUGCACCUUUCAAUUUGAGUGGCGAACGGGUGAGUAACACGUGGGCAACCUACCUGAUAGCGGGGGAUAACGAGUGGAAACAUUCGCUAAUACCGCAUAACAAUAGAGAAUGCAUAUUCUUUAGUUAAACGGCGCUUUCAAGCGCCACUAUCAGAUGGGCCCGCGGUGCAUUAGUUAGUUGGUGGGGUGAAGGCAUACCAAGACGAGGAUGCAUAGCCGAGUUGAGAGACUGAUCGGCCACAUUGGGACUGAGACACGUCCCAAGCUCCUACGGGGGGAUGCAGUAGGGAAUCUUCCACAAUGGGCGAAAGUCUGAUGGAGCAACGCCGCGUGUGUGAUGAAGGCUUUAGGGUCGUAAAGCACUGUUGUAUGGGAAGAAAUGCUAGGCUAGGAAAUGAGCUUAGUUUGACGGUACCAUACCAGAAAGGGACGGCUAAAUACGUGCCAGCAGCCGCCGUAA
rnacentral:rRNA from 1 species